ensembl:lncRNA
AUAGCAAGCAUUUUUUCCUUCUUAUUGCUUAUUAUUUGUACUGCAGACUCCAUUAAUAGGUAGGUUUCUAGCACUGGUAGCUCCUCAGAGGUAUAGUAAGAGACCAUUUCUGUCUUCCAGAAGCUUACUGUAUGUACAUCCUACUGAGUUCUCCAGGAUUUACUGUAGGGAGAGCUCAUGCAGUUUCUACUUGGACCAUGCCAUGGAAAAGAAUCACUGCAUUUCUCAAACUAUUUACAAAUACUUUAAAUGAUGAAAACCCACUGAAGCCAGCAGGAAACACAAUCCAGCAAUUACACAGCAGCAGCAGCUUGGACUUUUCCUGAUCUCUAUUCGGUGGAAGAGUGGUGGUUAUUUGUAUUUAUGUCUUUAUAGAAAUACUUAAUAAUGUUUGCUUGUUUCUGACAUACCUGCAGACUUGUCUCUAGAGUUGAUCACCUGAUGCUAGAAAAACUGUGGACUCCAACAAGGUUUAUUCUCAAUCUCAGAUUCAUAUCAAAAAUUUUUUUAAAGAUGUACUAGUGUUGUUUUGGCUGCAGAGUCUGUAGCAAUUAAGUCAUAUUAGCUAUGAAAAGAGCACUAUUUAGAGUUUAAUGUAAAGGUGCGGUAGAAGGAUUAAUGACUGCAUCCACAAUUUCGAAGAUACAUGUCUCAACCCAGGCAAGUUAUAAGCAGUGACAGAGAUUCCUCUGUUCUGAACAUGGUCUACCUCAUGUGGCUCUCUUCAAUUUAUGUCUGAACUGGUAGAAAAUUGUUAUUACAAAAUUGCCACUAUAAUGCUGUUGUAUAUAUAUGAUGUCUACUGCAAAAUGCGAUAGUCUUGUAAGACCAUGUGAUUUACAAGGUUAAAAGCUAGGUUUUCAUCUGUUAUCUAAGGGUCACAUUUUAAAAAGAACUUGGAAGCCAACACUGCAGAAUUUGUGUGGAAAUAUGGCCCUAGUUUGGCACUCUAAGAUCUUUGAUACCCUGGUUUAACUGGGCUGAGAAUUGACAGUAAUAAGACCUGCAGCUUGGUGGUUUGUAUCACUAGCAGUGAUAUAUUCUGCCACCUUGUGAAAGAGCUGAAUUUAAUUCUUCAUUUAUAGUUAGCACAUCUGUAAUGACUGCAUAAUAUUUUAGAUGAGUUGUUCCUGGAAAUAACUUCUAUUUUGUAACCAUUUCUGCUCUGAGAAAUUAAAAUGAACUAUUUUGGCUAGCUGACUUAACACAUAUAUAUUUGAACUGUUGAACUUGCUCAGAGUUUUUUGUUCAGG